rnacentral:rRNA from 1 species
UACGUAGGGUGCGAGCGUUAAUCGGAAUUACUGGGCGUAAAGCGUGCGCAGGCGGUUUGUUAAGACAGGCGUGAAAUCCCCGGGCUCAACCUGGGAACUGCGCUUGUGACUGGCAGGCUAGAGUACGGCAGAGGGGGGUGGAAUUCCACGUGUAGCAGUGAAAUGCGUAGAGAUGUGGAGGAACACCAAUGGCGAAGGCGGGUCUCUGGGCAUUUCCUGACGCUGAGGCGCGAAAGCGUGGGGAGCAAACGGG